rnacentral:rRNA from 1 species
AUUACCGCGGCUGCUGGCACAGAGUUAGCCGGUGCUUAUUCUGUCGGUAACGUCAAGACACUAACGUAUUAGGUUAAUGCCCUUCCUCCCAACUUAAAGUGCUUUACAAUCCGAAGACCUUCUUCACACACGCGGCAUGGCUGGAUCAGGCUUUCGCCCAUUGUCCAAUAUUCCCCACUGCUGCCUCCCGUAGG